UACGGAGGAUGCAGGAGUUAUCCGGAAUUAUUGGGCGUAAAGCGUCCGUAGGUGGUUAAGUAAGUCUGCUGUUAAAGCGUGGAGCUUAACUCCAUAUCGGCAGUGGAAACUACUUGACUUGAGUGCGGUAGGGAUCAGGGGAAUUCCCAGUGUAGCGGUGAAAUGAGUAGAUAUUGGGAAGAACACCGGUGGCGAAAGCGCCUGACUGGCCCUGCAAUGGCACUGAUGGACAAAAGCUAGGGGAGCGAAAGGG
rnacentral:rRNA from 1 species